rnacentral:misc_RNA from 1 species
GAUGAAGAACGUAGCGAAAUGCGAUACUUGGUGUGAAUUGCAGAAUCCCGUGAACCAUCGAGUCUUUGAACGCAAGUUGCGCCCGAAGCCACUAGGCCGAGGGCACGCCUGCCUGGGCGUCACACGCCGUUGCCCCCCCAUCUACUCCUUCGGGAUUGCGGGGGGGCGGAUGAUGGCCUCCUGUGCGCCUAGCCGCGCGGUUGGCAUAAAUACCAAGUCCUCGGCGACGCACGCCACGACAAUCGGUGGUUGCGAAACCUCGGUUGCCCGUCGUGUGCGUUCGUCGCGCAUCGAGGGCUCGAAAAAAUGCUCGGCUCCGGCUGGGCUUUCAACGCGACCCCAGGUCAGGCGGGGUUACCCGCUGAAUUUAAGCUUAUCAAUAAGCGGAGGA